GAUGAACGCUGGCGGCGUGCCUAAUACAUGCAAGUCGAGCGAACGGACGAGAAGCUUGCUCCUCUGACGUUAGCGGCGGACGGGUGAGUAACACGUGGAUAACCUACCUAUAAGACUGGGAUAACUUCGGGAAACCGGAGCUAAUACCGGAUAAUAUAUUGAACCGCAUGGUUCAAUAGUGAAAGACGGUUUUGCUGUCACUUAUAGAUGGAUCCGCGCCGCAUUAGCUAGUUGGUAAGGUAACGGCUUACCAAGGCAACGAUGCGUAGCCGACCUGAGAGGGUGAUCGGCCACACUGGAACUGAGACACGGUCCAGACUCCUACGGGAGGCAGCAGUAGGGAAUCUUCCGCAAUGGGCGAAAGCUUGACGGAGCAACGCCGCGUGAGUGAUGAAGGUCUUCGGAUCGUAAAACUCUGUUAUUAGGGAAGAACAAAUGUGUAAGUAACUAUGCACGUCUUGACGGUACCUAAUCAGAAAGCCACGGCUAACUACGUG
rnacentral:rRNA from 1 species